rnacentral:rRNA from 1 species
CUAAGUAUAAGCAAUCUUAUACAGCGAAACUGCGAAUGGCUCAUUAAAUCAGUUAUAGUCUACUUGAUCGUAUCUUCUUACAUGGAUAACCGUAGUAAAUCUAGAGCUAAUACAUGCUAAAAAUCCUGGACGCGGCAACGCGGAAGGGACGAGUUUAUUAGAUUAAAAACCAACACCUCUCCGCGAGGGGAGGUAGCACAGGUGAUUCACAGUAACCGAUCGGAUCGUCGGCCCAGCCGACGACGAUGCAUACGAGUUUCUGCCCUAUCAACUUUAGAUGGUAGAGUAUCGGUCUACCAUGGUCGUAACGGGUGACGGGGGAUUAGGGUUCGAUUCCGGAGAGGGAGCCUGAGAAACGGCUACCACUUCCAAGGAAGGCAGCAGGCGCGCAAAUUACCCAAUCCCGACACGGGGAGGUAGUGACAAGAAAUACCAUUGUAAUGUCUCCUCGAGAGGCUUACGAUUGGAAUGAGUACAAUUUAAAUCCCUUAACGAGUAACGAUUGGAGGGCAAGUCUGGUGCCAGCAGCCGCGGUAAUUCCAGCUCCAAUAGCGUAUAUUAAAGUUGUUGCAGUUAAAAAGCUCGUAGUUGGAUUUCGGAAGGUCCUUAGCGGUCCGCCCCUUCGGGGAGCGGGUCGCUGGCCUCCUAUGUUCCCAACGGUCCUCAUCCGCGAGGGUGGGGAAUCAACCGCUGGGAUCGUUUACUUUGAGGAAAUUAGAGUGUUCAAAGCAGCGUAACUCGCCUCCGAAUACGUUAGCAUGGGAAAUGGAAUACGACUUCGGUCUUGUUUCGUUGGUUUC